GUUCCAAACUAGUCUCGACUCUGCAAGCCAUCAUACUCACAGAAUUUUAGCUAUUUUGGAGGCACUUUUUUCUCUGAAACCAUCUUCUAUUGGAACAUCUUGGAGUUAUAGUUCAACUGAGAUAGUAGCUGCAGCUAUGGUUGCUGCUCAUGUUUCUGAACUAUUUAGACGUUCAAAGGCUUGCAUGCAUGCGCUCUCUGUUCUGAUGCGAUGCAAGUGGGAUAAUGAAAUUUACACUAGGGCAUCCUCACUAUAUAACCUCAUUGAUAUUCACAGUAAGGCUGUUGCAUCCAUAGUUAACAAGGCUGAGCC
rnacentral:lncRNA from 1 species